ACGCUGGCGGCGCUGCCUAAUACAUGCAAGUCGAACGAAACUUCUUUAUCACCGAGUGCUUGCACUCACCGAUAAAGAGUUGAGUGGCGAACGGGUGAGUAACACGUGGGCAACCUGCCCAAAAGAGGGGGAUAACACUUGGAAACAGGUGCUAAUACCGCAUAACCAUAGUUACCGCAUGGUAACUAUGUAAAAGGUGGCUAUGCUACCGCUUUUGGAUGGGCCCGCGGCGCAUUAGCUAGUUGGUGAGGUAAAGGCUUACCAAGGCAAUGAUGCGUAGCCGAACUGAGAGGUUGAUCGGCCACAUUGGGACUGAGACACGGCCCAAACUCCUACGGGAGGCAGCAGUAGGGAAUCUUCCACAAUGGGCGAAAGCCUGAUGGAGCAACGCCGCGUGGGUGAAGAAGGUCUUCGGAUCGUAAAACCCUGUUGUUAGAGAAGAAAGUGCGUGAGAGUAACUGUUCACGUUUCGACGGUAUCUAACCAGAAAGCCACGGCUAACUACGUGCCAGCAGCCGCGGUAAUACGUAGGUGGCAAGCGUUAUCCGGAUUUAUUGGGCGUAAAGGGAACGCAGGCGGUCUUUUAAGUCUGAUGUGAAAGCCUUCGGCUUAACCGGAGUAGUGCAUUGGAAACUGGGAGACUUGAGUGCAGAAGAGGAGAGUGGAACUCCAUGUGUAGCGGUGAAAUGCGUAGAUAUAUGGAAGAACACCAGUGGCGAAAGCGGCUCUCUGGUCUGUAACUGACGCUGAGGUUCGAAAGCGUGGGUAGCAAACAGGAUUAGAUACCCUGGUAGUCCACGCCGUAAACGAUGAAUGCUAAGUGUUGGAGGGUUUCCGCCCUUCAGUGCUGCAGCUAACGCAAUAAGCAUUCCGCCUGGGGAGUACGACCGCAAGGUUGAAACUCAAAGGAAUUGACGGGGGCCCGCACAAGCGGUGGAGCAUGUGGUUUAAUUCGAAGCAACGCGAAGAACCUUACCAGGUCUUGACAUCUUCUGACAAUCCUAGAGAUAGGACUUUCCCUUCGGGGACAGAAUGACAGGUGGUGCAUGGUUGUCGUCAGCUCGUGUCGUGAGAUGUUGGGUUAAGUCCCGCAACGAGCGCAACCCUUAUUGUUAGUUGCCAGCAUUAAGUUGGGCACUCUAGCAAGACUGCCGGUGACAAACCGGAGGAAGGUGGGGAUGACGUCAAAUCAUCAUGCCCCUUAUGACCUGGGCUACACACGUGCAACAAUGGACGGUACAACGAGUCGCAAGACCGCGAGGUUUAGCAAAUCUCUUAAAGCCGUUCUCAGUUCGGAUUGUAGGCUGCAACUCGCCUACAUGAAGUCGGAAUCGCUAGUAAUCGCGGAUCAGCAUGCCGCGGUGAAUACGUUCCCGGGCCUUGUACACACCGCCCGUCACACCAUGAGAGUUUGUAACACCCAAAGCCGGUGGGGUAACCUUUUGGAGCCAGCCGUCUAAGGUGGGACAGAUGAUUGGGGUGAAGUCGUAACAAGGUAGCCGUAGGAGAACCUGCGGCUGGAUCACCUCCUUUCUA
rnacentral:rRNA from 2 species